GAUGAACGCUAGCUACAGGCCUAACACAUGCAAGUCGAGGGACCGGCGCACGGGUGAGUAACACGUAUCCAACCUGCCCUUUACUCGGGGAUAGCCUUUCGAAAGAAAGAUUAAUACCCGAUAUAAAGGAUGGGGAUGCGUUCCGUUAGGUGGUUGGUGAGGUAACGGCUAACCAAGCCUUCGAUGGAUAGGGGUUCUGAGAGGAAGGUCCCCCACAUAGGAACUGAGACACGGUCCAAACUCCUACGGGAGGCAGCAGUGAGGAAUAUUGGUUAAUGAGAGGUAGCCUGAGCCAGCCAAGUAGCGUGAAGGAUGAAGGCUUAUGGGUCGUAAACUUCUUUUAUAUAAGAAUAUGUAUUAUAUGCAUAAGGAUCGGCUAACUCCGUGCCAGCAGCCGCGGUAAUUC
rnacentral:rRNA from 1 species